rnacentral:rRNA from 1 species
UACGUAGGGUGCAAGCGUUGUCCGGAUUUAUUGGGCGUAAAGAGCUCGUAGGCGGUCUGUCACGUCGGCUGUGAAAUCCCGAGGCUCAACCUCGGGUCUGCAGUCGAUACGGGCAAACUAGAGUAUUGCAGGGGAGACUGGAAUUCCUGGUGUAGCGGUGAAAUGCGCAGAUAUCAGGAGGAACACCGGUGGCGAAGGCGGGUCUCUGGGCAAUAACUGACGCUGAGGAGCGAAAGCGUGGGGAGCGAACAGG